rnacentral:rRNA from 1 species
UCGAUUCCCUUAGUAGCGGCGAGCGAAACGGGAAGAGCCCAAACCAACAAGCUUGCUUGUUGGGGUUGUAGGACACUCUAUACGGAGUUACAAAGGACGACAUUAGACGAAUCAUCUGGAAAGAUGAAUCAAAGAAGGUAAUAAUCCUGUAGUCGAAAAUGUUGUCUCUCUUGAGUGGAUCCUGAGUACGACGGAGCACGUGAAAUUCCGUCGGAAUCUGGGAGGACCAUCUCCUAAGGCUAAAUACUCUCUAGUGACCGAUAGUGAACCAGUACCGUGAGGGAAAGGUGAAAAGCACCCCGGAAGGGGAGUGAAAUAGAACCUGAAACCGUGUGCUUACAAGUAGUCAGAGCCCGUUAAUGGGUGAUGGCGUGCCUUUUGUAGAAUGAACCGGCGAGUUACGAUUUGAUGCAAGGUUAAGCAGUAAAUGUGGAGCCGUAGCGAAAGCGAGUCUGAAUAGGGCGUUUAGUAUUUGGUCGUAGACCCGAAACCAGGUGAUCUACCCUUGGUCAGGUUGAAGUUCAGGUAACACUGAAUGGAGGACCGAACCGACUUACGUUGAAAAGUGAGCGGAUGAACUGAGGGUAGCGGAGAAAUUCCAAUCGAACCUGGAGAUAGCUGGUUCUCUCCGAAAUAGCUUUAGGGCUAGCCUCAAGUGAUGAUUAUUGGAGGUAGAGCACUGUUUGGACGAGGGGCCCCUCUCGGGUUACCGAAUUCAGACAAACUCCGAAUGCCAAUUAAUUUAACUUGGGAGUCAGAACAUGGGUGAUAAGGUCCGUGUUCGAAAGGGAAACAGCCCAGACCACCAGCUAAGGUCCCAAAAUAUAUGUUAAGUGGAAAAGGAUGUGGCGUUGCCCAGACAACUAGGAUGUUGGCUUAGAAGCAGCCAUCAUUUAAAGAGUGCGUAAUAGCUCACUAGUCGAGUGACACUGCGCCGAAAAUGUACCGGGGCUAAACAUAUUACCGAAGCUGUGGAUUGUCCUUUGGACAAUGGUAGGAGAGCGUUCUAAGGGCGUUGAAGCAUGAUCGUAAGGACAUGUGGAGCGCUUAGAAGUGAGAAUGCCGGUGUGAGUAGCGAAAGACGGGUGAGAAUCCCGUCCACCGAUUGACUAAGGUUUCCAGAGGAAGGCUC